rnacentral:misc_RNA from 1 species
UACGUAGGGGGCAAGCGUUGUCCGGAAUUAUUGGGCGUAAAGCGCGCGCAGGCGGUUUCUUAAGUCUGAUGUGAAAGCCCACGGCACAACAGUGGAGGGUCAUUGGGAACUGGGAGACUUGAGUGUAGGAGAGGAAAGUGGAAUUCCACGUGUAGGGGUGAAAUGCGUAGAGAUGUGGAGGAACACCAGUGGCGAAGGCGACUUUCUGGCCUAUAACUAACGCUGAGGCGCGAAAGCGUGGGGAGCAAACAGG